GAAGAUAUUAUGAAGGUGGUGGAUCUCGACAGGGUUGAUAUGAGAACACAUUUGCAAUCAACGGCUGUAAUGACGAUCAUGUAAUUGUUACAUCUCUCGUUUUCAUGUGUUCUCAGGUCACCCCUGCUGAGCUCUUUCUCUACCGUUUUCAAGUAAUAACGCCGUGGCUUUAUUCAUAUACCCAAUGGUAAGUUUCUAUGUAAUUUCGAAACCUGUAGUAUUAUUACAAAUGAAAUAACAAAUAAAAACAUUGUAAUUCUUAGUAAACUUACGUACCUACGUGUGAUAUAUGCUAUGACUAUGAAUGGGGAACGAGCUAUUUAAUUGUCUUGCUCUUGCUCUUUGUCCUUUAACAAGAUCGACUGCCAAAGAAACAGAGGAAGCAAGAAACCCACAAUGAGCUCAUUAAUAUGUUUGUGAUGUUAAUUUCUUAGUUUAACCGAUGACUGAGAAGAAAGGUUUACUUCGCGGAGGAGUCGGAGAGCGGCAGGACGAGUGAACUUCCUGGCGAAGAGGAAGCACCGCGACGGUUUCCCUUUACUGCUACACCAUUCUCGCCGAUAUUCAGUCUCGUAGUUGAUAUUGUCAAUUCCCUGUGAAUCAAUGUGUUUUGUUAGUGAUUCUACUUCUGUUUUAAGUAUGUAACAGGGUUAAAGCCACAGCAAGAAAAAAGAAGAUUCAUAUAUUGUAAUGGAGAGUUUUAGUUCUACAAAAUAAAAUGUUGUUCUUAA
rnacentral:lncRNA from 1 species